UUCGCAAUGCCCGAAAGGGUGACGAAGCGACGCCGCGUGUGGGAAGAAGGCUCUAGGGUUGUAAAGCUCUGUCGAGGGUUAUGAAAUAUAGAUGGGUUAAUACCCCAUUUAUUUGACAAAAGCCCAAAAGGAAGCCACGGCUAACUCUGUGCCAGCAGCCGCGGUAAUACAGAGGUGGCGAGCGUUGUUCGGUAUUAUUGGGCGUAAAGAGCACGUAGGUGGUUUUGUAAGUCAGGUGUGAAAGCCUUCUGUUCAAAGGAAGAACGGCAUCUGAAACUGCAGAUCUUGAGUGUAGGAGGGGAGAGUGGAACUUCUGGUGGAGCGGUGAAAUGCGUAGAUAUCAGAAGGAACGUCGGCGGCGAAAGCGACUCUCUGGCCUAUUACUGACACUGAGGUGCGAAAGUUAGGGGAGCAAACGGGAUUAGAUACCCCGGUAGUCCUAACCGUAAACGAUGGGCACUAAGUAGAGGGGUUUU
rnacentral:rRNA from 1 species